GGGGAAUCUUAGACAAUGGGGGCAACCCUGAUCUAGCCAUGCCGCGUGAGUGAUGAAGGCCUUAGGGUUGUAAAGCUCUUUCAGCUGUGAAGAUAAUGACGGUAGCAGCAGAAGAAGUCCCGGCUAACUCCGUGCCAGCAGCCGCGGUAAUACGGAGGGGACUAGCGUUGUUCGGAAUUACUGGGCGUAAAGCGCACGUAGGCGGAUCAGAAAGUUGGGGGUGAAAUCCCGGGGCUCAACCCCGGAACUGCCUUCAAAACUAUUGGUCUGGAGUUCGAGAGAGGUGAGUGGAAUACCGAGUGUAGAGGUGAAAUUCGUAGAUAUUCGGUGGAACACCAGUGGCGAAGGCGGCUCACUGGCUCGAUACUGACGCUGAGGUGCGAAAGCGUGGGGAGCAAAC
rnacentral:rRNA from 1 species